GACGUAGGGGGCGAACGUUAUCCGGAAUUAUUGGGCGUAAAGGGUGCGUAGAUGGCCUGAUAAGUUAGCUGUGGAAAAUCGAGGCUCAACCUCGUGGAAACUGAUAAUACUGUCUGGCUCGAGUACAGAAGAGGUUAACGGAAUUCCAUGUGGAGCGGUAAAAUGCAUAGAUAUAUGGAAGAAGACCAAUAACGGCGAAGGCAGUUAACUAUUCUGUUACUGACAUUGAGGCACGAAAGCGUGGGGAGCAAAACGG
rnacentral:rRNA from 1 species